UCCCACACAUUGCCUUUGCCCCGAUUGCC
rnacentral:piRNA from 1 species